rnacentral:rRNA from 1 species
CUGUGAGCUCGAUGAGUAGGGCGGGACACGUGGUAUCCUGUCUGAAUAUGGGGGGACCAUCCUCCAAGGCUAAAUACUCCUGACUGACCGAUAGUGAACCAGUACCGUGAGGGAAAGGCGAAAAGAACCCCGGCGAGGGGAGUGAAAAAGAACCUGAAACCGUGUACGUACAAGCAGUGGGAGCACGCUUAGGCGUGUGACUGCGUACCUUUUGUAUAAUGGGUCAGCGACUUAUAUUCUGUAGCAAGGUUAACCGAAUAGGGGAGCCGAAGGGAAACCGAGUCUUAACUGGGCGUUAAGUUGCAGGGUAUAGACCCGAAACCCGGUGAUCUAGCCAUGGGCAGGUUGAAGGUUGGGUAACACUAACUGGAGGACCGAACCGACUAAUGUUGAAAAAUUAGCGGAUGACUUGUGGCUGGGGGUGAAAGGCCAAUCAAACCGGGAGAUAGCUGGUUCUCCCCGAAAGCUAUUUAGGUAGCGCCUCGUGAAUUCAUCUCCGGGGGUAGAGCACUGUUUCGGCAAGGGGGUCAUCCCGACUUACCAACCCGAUGCAAACUGCGAAUACCGGAGAAUGUUAUCACGGGAGACACACGGCGGGUGCUAACGUCCGUCGUGAAGAGGGAAACAACCCAGACCGCCAGCUAAGGUCCCAAAGUCAUGGUUAAGUGGGAAACGAUGUGGGAAGGCCCAGACAGCCAGGAUGUUGGCUUAGAAGCAGCCAUCAUUUAAAGAAAGCGUAAUAGCUCACUGGUCGAGUCGGCCUGCGCGGAAGAUGUAACGGGGCUAAACCAUGCACCGAAGCUGCGGCAGCGACGCUUAUGCGUUGUUGGGUAGGGGAGCGUUCUGUAAGCCUGUGAAGGUGUGCUGUGAGGCAUGCUGGAGGUAUCAGAAGUGCGAAUGCUGACAUAAGUAACGAUAAAGCGGGUGAAAAGCCCGCUCGCCGGAAGACCAAGGGUUCCUGUCCAACGUUAAUCGGGGCAGGGUGAGUCGACCCCUAAGGCGAGGCCGAAAGGCGUAGUCGAUGGGAAACAGGUUAAUAUUCCUGUACUUGGUGUUACUGCGAAGGGGGGACGGAGAAGGCUAUGUUGGCCGGGCGACGGUUGUCCCGGUUUAAGCGUGUAGGCUGGUUUUCCAGGCAAAUCCGGAAAAUCAAGGCUGAGGCGUGAUGACGAGGCACUACGGUGCUGAAGCAACAAAUGCCCUGCUUCCAGGAAAAGCCUCUAAGCAUCAGGUAACAUCAAAUCGUACCCCAAACCGACACAGGUGGUCAGGUAGAGAAUACCAAGGCGCUUGAGAGAACUCGGGUGAAGGAACUAGGCAAAAUGGUGCCGUAACUUCGGGAGAAGGCACGCUGAUAUGUAGGUGAAGUCCCUCGCGGAUGGAGCUGAAAUCAGUCGAAGAUACCAGCUGGCUGCAACUGUUUAUUAAAAACACAGCACUGUGCAAACACGAAAGUGGACGUAUACGGUGUGACGCCUGCCCGGUGCCGGAAGGUUAAUUGAUGGGGUCAGCGCAAGCGAAGCUCUUGAUCGAAGCCCCGGUAAACGGCGGCCGUAACUAUAACGGUCCUAAGGUAGCGAAAUUCCUUGUCGGGUAAGUUCCGACCUGCACGAAUGGCGUAAUGAUGGCCAGGCUGUCUCCACCCGAGACUCAGUGAAAUUGAACUCGCUGUGAAGAUGCAGUGUACCCGCGGCAAGACGGAAAGACCCCGUGAACCUUUACUAUAGCUUGACACUGAACAUUGAGCCUUGAUGUGUAGGAUAGGUGGGAGGCUUAGAAGUGUGGACGCCAGUCUGCAUGGAGCCGACCUUGAAAUACCACCCUUUAAUGUUUGAUGUUCUAACGUUGACCCGUAAUCCGGGUUGCGGACAGUGUCUGGUGGGUAGUUUGACUGGGGCGGUCUCCUCCUAAAGAGUAACGGAGGAGCACGAAGGUUGGCUAAUCCUGGUCGGACAUCAGGAGGUUAGUGCAAUGGCAUAAGCCAGCUUGACUGCGAGCGUGACGGCGCGAGCAGGUGCGAAAGCAGGUCAUAGUGAUCCGGUGGUUCUGAAUGGAAGGGCCAUCGCUCAACGGAUAAAAGGUACUCCGGGGAUAACAGGCUGAUACCGCCCAAGAGUUCAUAUCGACGGCGGUGUUUGGCACCUCGAUGUCGGCUCAUCACAUCCUGGGGCUGAAGUAGGUCCCAAGGGUAUGGCUGUUCGCCAUUUAAAGUGGUACGCGAGCUGGGUUUAGAACGUCGUGAGACAGUUCGGUCCCUAUCUGCCGUGGGCGCUGGAGAACUGAGGGGGGCUGCUCCUAGUACGAGAGGACCGGAGUGGACGCAUCACUGGUGUUCGGGUUGUCAUGCCAAUGGCACUGCCCGGUAGCUAAAUGCGGAAGAGAUAAGUGCUGAAAGCAUCUAAGCACGAAACUUGCCCCGAGAUGAGUUCUCCCUGACYCYUURAGRGUCCUGAAGGAACGUUGAAGACGACGACGUUGAUAGGCCGGGUGUGUAAGCGCAGCGAUGCGUUGAGCUAACCGGUACUAAUGAACCGUGAGGCUUAACCUUACAACGCCGAAGSUGUU